UGGGGAAUAUUGGACAAUGGGCGGAAGCCUGAUCCAGCAAUACCGCGUGUGUGAAGAAGGCCUUAGGGUUGUAAAGCACUUUCAAUUAGGAAGAAGUUGUAUGCGCUAAUAUCGCAUAUAAUUGACGUUAUUAAUAGAAGAAGCACCGGCUAACUCUGUGCCAGCAGCCGCGGUAAUACAGAGGGUGCGAGCGUUAAUCGGAAUCACUGGGCGUAAAGCGUAUGUAGGUGGAAUAGUAAGUUAGGUGUGAAAUCCCUGAGCUCAACUCAGGAAUUGCGCUUAAAACUGCUAGUUCUAGAGUAUUGGAGAGGAGAGCAGAAUUUCUGGUGUAGCGGUGAAAUGCGUAGAUA
rnacentral:rRNA from 1 species